rnacentral:rRNA from 1 species
GAUGAACGCUGGCGGCGUGCUUAACACAUGCAAGUCGAACGGAAAGGCUCCUGCUUGCAGGGGUACUCGAGUGGCGAACGGGUGAGUAACACGUGGGUGAUCUGCCCUGCACUUCGGGAUAAGCCUGGGAAACUGGGUCUAAUACCGGAUAGGACCACAUUUUGGAUGGUGUGGUGGAAAGUUUUUCGGUGUGGGAUGAGCUCGCGGCCUAUCAGCUUGUUGGUGGGGUAAUGGCCUACCAAGGCGUCGACGGGUAGCCGGCCUGAGAGGGUGUACGGCCACAUUGGGACUGAGAUACGGCCCAGACUCCUACGGGAGGCAGCAGCGGGGAAUAUUGCACAAUGGGCGCAAGCCUGAUGCAGCGACGCCGCGUGGGGGAUGACGGCCUUCGGGUUGUAAACUCCUUUCGCUAGGGACGAAGCGCAAGUGACGGUACCUGGAGAAGAAGCACCGGCUAACUACGUG